UGAUCAAUUAACCGGACAAUCGUACAAAGGCCACUUUUGAACCAUUUCUCUUUUAUACAGCACAUGAAAAUGGCUCGGAUGAUCGACUUGCACUUUCGAAUAUCUGGAGCAAGGUCACGUGAUCACAAUCUUCACCGUUCCAACUCUACCAGCACACGGAAUUUUCAGAGUCUAGGAGGACACCCAUGCAGAAGAGGGGGUAAACCACCACACAAGAUUGUUACAGUACGUACAGUAGGCACUCUGGGAGUCAAAGCUACUAGCUGCUGACGAUCGAGACUAAAUCUACCUCCGAUGUUGCUAUGUCUGCAAAGGGCAUCACAGGUAAUCUUAUUCCGAAAUGUGUACUAUCGUGUACAUUAUUAUGUGGCAUAAACGUCUUACAAGAAGACGAUAAGAAGAAGGUGUAAAGCAAUGCUCAAGGCUGUAAGUACACUUGGAGUCAAAGGUUUGUUUAAUGACUACCCUUAUAAUUAUAGUAUUACGUCUGCAAAGGGUAUUACCAAGGGCUUAUAAAGAGAAGAGGGCAUGCAACUACAAUCUAUCAUAUUAUAAAUAGGCGGAUGCUUAUGUCUAAAAAUAGUUAUUGCACGUGCACUUUAUAUACUCUAGACUAUAGCCUUGUUUUACUCCAGCGCCCAAGACUGUAGAAGUCAAAGGUUAUAGUUCAUUGCCCAGUCCCAUUUCGUGUUAAUUGUGUUUAUGUAUCCAAUUUUCCAGCUACUCUUGACAAGACUAGAUCUACUUCCGAUGAUGUUACGUCUGUUAAGAGCAUCACAGAACCCAAGAGGUCUCUCAGAAGAGAAGUGCCCAAGGCUGUAUAGGCACACUGGGAGUCAAAUCUACUUCUGACGAGACUACCACCAAUGGUUCAUGCAGAUCUACGUCUGCAAAAGGGUCAAAAAGGACACUCAAGAAGUGAACCAGAACCCAAGGCUGAAGGCACUCUGGAAGUCAACGCUACUUCUGACGAGACUACCUGCGUUGUCCAAGGCAUCAAAGGUAUUAUUGAACGUGCUUAUAAUUAUGUGGAAUCAAUUUUUCAGGGUUCAAAAUGACACUCAGAAGAGGGAGUAAACCAGCGCCCAAGGCUGCAAGCACUCUGGGAGUCAAAGGUUAUAGUUUAAUUCCCAUGCAGUCACAGUGUUGUGUUUUCAUUUAUAUUCUAACGAGACUAUACCUCCGCUGUCCACGGCAUUAAAGGUGUUAUUGAAUGUGGCCAGAACAUUUUCAUUUUCAGGUAUACAAAAAGACACUAAUUUUUAUUAUGCACUCUGCUCUGUUCACAA